rnacentral:rRNA from 1 species
CCGGCGGUGCAGGAUGAGCCCGCGGCCUAUCAGCUUGUUGGUGAGGUAAUGGCUCACCAAGGCGACGACGGGUAGCCGGCCUGAGAGGGCGACCGGCCACACUGGGACUGAGACACGGCCCAGACUCCUACGGGAGGCAGCAGUGGGGAAUAUUGCACAAUGGGCGAAAGCCUGAUGCAGCGACGCCGCGUGAGGGAUGACGGCCUUCGGGUUGUAAACCUCUUUCAGCAGGGAAGAAGCGAAAGUGACGGUACCUGCAGAAGAAGCGCCGGCUAACUACGUGCCAGCAGCCGCGGUAAUACGUAGGGCGCGAGCGUUGUCCGGAAUUAUUGGGCGUAAAGAGCUCGUAGGCGGCUUGUCGCGUCGGUUGUGAAAGCCCGGGGCUUAACCCCGGGUCUGCAGUCGAUACGGGCAGGCUAGAGUUCGGUAGGGGAGAUCGGAAUUCCUGGUGUAGCGGUGAAAUGCGCAGAUAUCAGGAGGAACACCGGUGGCGAAGGCGGAUCUCUGGGCCGAUACUGACGCUGAGGAGCGAAAGCGUGGGGAGCGAACAGGAUUAGAUACCCUGGUAGUCCACGCCGUAAACGGUGGGCACUAGGUGUGGGCGACAUUCCACGUCGUCCGUGCCGCAGCUAACGCAUUAAGUGCCCCGCCUGGGGAGUACGG